AACGUAGGUGGCAAGCGUUAUCCGGAUUUACUGGGCGUAAAGGGUGUGCAGGCGGGGUAGCAAGUGGGGUAUGAAAUCUCCAGGCUUAACCUGGAGGGGUUAUGCCAGACUGCUGCUCUAGAGGACGAGAGAGGGGGGUGGAAUUCCGGGUGUAGUGGUGAAAUGCGUAGAGAUCCGGAGGAACCCCAGAGGCGAAGGCGGCCCCCUGGCUCGUGCCUGACGCUCAGCCACGAAAGCAUGGGGAGCGAACGGG
rnacentral:rRNA from 1 species